AUUGAACGCUGGCGGCAGGCUUAACACAUGCAAGUCGAGCGAGUGGCGGACGGGUGAGUAAUGUAUCGGAAACUGCCCGAUAGAGGGGGAUAACUACUAGAAACGGUGGCUAAUACCGCAUACUAUCGGAUGUGCCCAUAUGGGAUUAGCUCGUUGGUGGGGUAACGGCUCACCAAGGCAACGAUCCCUAGCUGGUCUGAGAGGAUGACAGGCCAAACUGGGACUGAGACACGGCCCAGACACCUACGGGAGGCAGCAGUGUGGAAUAUUGCACCAUGGGCGAAAGACGGAUACAGCCAUGCCGCGGGUAUGAGGAUGACCUUCGGGUUGUAAAGUACUUUUGGCAGGAAGGCGUUAGCUGCAGAAGGAGGACCGGCGAACUCCGUGCCAGCAGCCGCGGUAAUAC
rnacentral:rRNA from 1 species